rnacentral:lncRNA from 1 species
UUCGCAUGUUCUCCGUAAACCAAGGCAGCUGUAACAUGGAAUCUGUUAUGAAGAAAGCAGCACUCAUUUUCUUCUUUGUUACUCUCUGUGUCAUCAGCUCCAAUUCUCAUACUUCAAGUGAAGCUCGGAAAGCAGUGGUGGAGGAACGAGUGUUGUAUUCGACUCGAGACUGCUGGAGAUCCACUUGUCCUUGUCCUCACGGGUGCAGGUGUCCCGGCCUCAUUUCCAGAUUGUUUGGAAAUAGUAAUUGUUACUGAAAAUCACGGGGAAUAAAAGAUGC